CAUCUAUACGCAGCGUCGAAUGGAGUAUUGGAAAAUGGCGUUCAUGAAUUGUACUAGAUUUGGUACUCAUUUACAUAGAAGAGUUCUCUAAAUUUUGGAGUUGGACAUAUGACAGCAUUUCAUAUUCUGACAUAAGGUAAAACAGGAAUUAAGGAUUUUAUCAGUUUAUCUUUACCAAAAGUUUCAACAUAGAACAAAAUCCAAGGUAUCCAUUGUCAUCUACUGUUCAGUUCCUCAUGCUGAAAGCUUCUGAGAAAAGUAACACAUUUAUUUUUUGGCUAACAGAAAUAUAUAUUGUUUAUAACUGUUUGAUUUUAUGAAAUCCUAGAAUUUACACAAUAUUUUAAUUCUAUGCCCACUCAUUCAGCAGGAUCUUGUGCAUGUAAUUUUUCAAAAAAGAAAUUAAAUCAACUGGAAAAUUCAAAUCUAACUCAUGGUGAACCCUGGA